UACAGAGGUCCCCAGCGUUGUUCGGAUUCAUUGGGCGUAAAGGGUGCGUAGGUGGCGCUGUAAGUCGGGUGUGAAAUUUCGGAGCUUAACUCCGAAACUGCAUUCGAUACUGCGGUGCUUGAGGACUGGAGAGGAGACUGGAAUUCAUGGUGUAGCAGUGAAAUGCGUAGAGAUCAUGAGGAAGACCAGUGGCGAAGGCGGGUCUCUGGACAGUUCCUGACACUGAGGCACGAAGGCCAGGGGAGCAAACGGG
rnacentral:rRNA from 1 species